UAUCUUGAAACUUUCUUGCCACUUCCGGACGUGACGUCAAAGUUUGCUCCUCCGUCAAAAAGCAGCGCUCUCUUUCUCUCUCUCUUGCACUGCCGGGGUUGCAUGCAUCGCAGCUCUGGCACUCUCUCGUUCGUUUGCGCCUUCAUUUUCACUUCGGCUUCACUCGAGUUUGGUUCGCUUUCGCGGCGUGAGGAUUUUUCUCUCUUCGCCGGACUGAGUGGUGUGCGGCGGUACGUGAAUUUCCUCGGGUCUUGACCUCCAGUUUUUAGUGCAGUUUUCGGGUAAUAAAAUGCCAAAAUUCGGCAUUGUUUUUGUUUUUCCGAGUGGGGCUAAGUUUGGGGACCGGUUAUUGAGUGAAGGUUGCGAAAAAUUCGGUGAAAAAGUGCGGUUUUCGGGCGGUUGAAAUUGCGGAAGUUGUUCCCACAAUGCGGCGACGGCGAGACGAGCUUGGCGUGGUUUUCGACUCUCGCUCUCGAAUGAUCGUCGUUCGAGUGAAGUGCAAGUGAAAAUAAGGUGAAAUUUCGGAUCGUGUUUUUUUAUUUGCCGGGUGGAAAAAUAAGUGAAAGAUUCUGCUUGAGGGUUAUUGAAUUAAAACGUUUUUAGGUCGUCGCGCUAAGUGUCUUGGCGGUUCCUUCCGCUCGGAAUCGACGUGCUAGCAAGCUGGUGGCUGUAUAAGGAAGAAAUGCGGAGAGGAAAAAACGUGCUUUUUCACGAAAGCUGUCCCUCCUUGAAUUGGACGAGAACCAAAAUGGUGCGCUGUUUCGCGGUAUAUUCUUGUGGCUUGAUGCAUUUGAAAAAUCUCAAAUCACAGGAGUAUACUGUGAGAGAUCGCGGAAAUCGGCCCGGAGAUGAGUCACCGGGAAAUCCGCGCGCCAGAACAACAGAUUGUGGAACCAUUACCGGAAGUGGCUUUUCAUCCUGUUCUAGAGUGAUGUUCUACAACCAUCAAACUAGCCACCGAUGACGACGCACACUGGGGCAGGAUCGAGAGUGCAUGGCAAAAAAACCUCCAACUCGAUGAGAGGACAACAUCGAUGUCGAGGGUAAAUCAUGUAUUUUGGACAAGCUGAGGACAAAGCUAGGGAAAAUGUCGCUUAACUUCCUCGGAAACCAAUCGAUUAUGGUCGACAGUUUCUUCUGCGCUUGUAAAUAUGACUGCGUUUCUGGCGACAAAAAAUCGUAACUAAAGCAAGUUAGAAAAUCGCGAUUUCUAAUCACCUGUAAGGAAUGCAUGUUGAACACCCUGGAAAACAUAAUUUGAACAG